CAAGAUGCAUGUAAAUAAAUGGAUUCCACAGAAGAGUGAGGCCUCAUCUCAGCCUGCUGCCUGGGCACUGAAACUCACCCUGAGCUGUCUCAUUAGCCCAGAAUCUUGCACUUGGAAGACAGUAGAUCAACGUCUUCUCGCUCUACAGGUCACCACCCUCAGACUUUGUCUUCAGGAAGAAAUGCUUCCAGAGAACAUCACCUAAGAACAAGGGCAUUCUCUUACAUAACCACAGCAUAAUUACCAAAAUCAGUCCACUUGUUCCCGUUAAAUAUUGAAGCCGUCAAAAUCAUCUUUCAAGAAAGGCACAGACCUGUCUCCUGGUCACAUCCUCGACCUUGGCAAAAUAAACUUCAAAACUGAUUGAGACCUGUCUCAUGAAUUCCUGAGAAAAACCUAUUUGCAUGAAUUCAUGAGCAGUUUAAUUUAUUAAAUCAUGAAUAUAUAACAUUACAUCAAUAGAACCAAUAAGAAAAAACAUACAAUAUCCUCUAUGCUGAGAAAGUGGCAGAAGAAUUUAAUACCCAUUUCUUGGAAAAUGAAAUAUUGGAAUAUACAGAAAAGUGAAAAAUCAAAAAGGGUGGUGUUGGCAAAAAAAGACUGGAUAGAUGGAAGGAACAAUGGAGGUGAUACAGAAUGUAGCAUGUGAAGAAGCAGAAUGAAAAAGGAUACAUCACAAAUCAAACAGAAAAAUUUACUAAAUCACUUUUUAUCUACUUCCACAAUAAUGCUGUAAAGAAAACCACUUCAAAGCUUGGUGGAGCAAAGCAAUAAACAUUUAUGAUUGCUCAUGA